CGCGUCUAGCCCCGGGGGGCUUGGAGACUGCAGAGUGUGCGCCGGCGGCACCGGAAAACCUAGAGAGCCCUAAAACGUCAGGGCUAAUUCCAGUGUGUUUUGAGGAAAGCCGUGUGGUGGCCUUCAGGCCCCCCAGAGCUUUCGCGAACGCGCCGCGCCGCUUUGGGACUCCCUACUUCUGGAGGUUGCAGCCUGGAAAACGGUCACGCCCUGUUGGCAUCUGUCCGUGCUUGUGUACGUGGCUCCUGGCGUGGAGAACUGUGGCUGUGGAAAAGCGUGCACGGGAGAGAGGGACGAGGGGGCGCGGCCUUGGCCCAUUAUCUGUUUCCUGGGAGUUACAAAAGCCCUAAAAUUUUCACAGAUUAAACCCCCCGACCCAAGAGAAAACCCUUAGGACUUCCGUGAACGUGGGAUUUGGAGUGCUGUUGGAUCCAGUUGGUUCCCCGUUUUGGAAAUCAGCAUACCAAAGAUUUGCUCUUAAUUUUCUCGUGUGUUGAAUAGACAUUGUGCGGGCACCACGCCCUAUAUCCCACUCUUUUAAGGAAAUAUUUGUGACAGAAACGCUCAAACCUCUGCAUCUUUCAUGUCUUUUUAGGUUCUUUCUAGAAAUUGUGACCUUUUUCUCUCGAGUCAUUCCAUCAAAAUCUUGGAAGCAAAGUUUAAAAAAAAAUGCUAGCCUUAAUUAGAAAGGGCUGCUUUGACAAGUACCACAAACUAGUGGCUUAAAACGUCAGAAAUUUGUCUCACAGUUCUGAAGGCUUCACUUCAAUCUCUGCUUCUAUCUUCAUAUGACCUUCUUUUCCCUGUGUCUCUCCUCUUCUUGAAAGGAUACCUGUCAUUGGAUUAGUGCCUACCUUAAUUCAGUAUAACCACAUCUUAACGUGAAUAUGUCUUCAAAGAUCCUGCUUCCAAAUAAGGUAACAUUUACAGAGAUUCUAACAUCAAGCAGCAGUUGAGCAACAAAUCACUAAAGUUAAAAGAAAAAUGAUCUUGGAGACUACUCACCUGUCCUGAAAGGUUUAGGUGCUUCCAUCCAACUGGGGUUAAAGUUGAAUGACAAGAAGAUGAAGAAAACAGCUGAGUAUAAAUACCAUUGCUUAAAUCCUCAAGUUUUAUGACAGUUAAAUUCCUCAUUGGACAUGCGGUGGAUUAAAAUCACAUUAAAGUUUGGACUUCAACCAAUGA